AAUAAACAAAUAAAAAUAAAAUUCUUCCUUUUUUGUUACUGUUGACGUCCGCAGUGUUUAGGGGGACAAGUCUGCCUCAAAAGUCAUUUUGCCCCCGUGUCCGUGAGGAAGUGCCUAGGAAGUGUGCCUGUCCUGUGAGACACAGCGUCACCCAGCAAGGUGGAGGGUGUCCCUGCUUCCUCUGGUGCCCGGCCCACGGGGCCCCCCUCAGCUGUCCUCACCACGCCUUAGGAAGCUGGUUUACCUACACCAGGAUUCACUACAGGUCGCGUCACAAAAGGAAAUGUUCUGUGUAUUCAGAGCCAAGUGAGGUCCCGGUCAUGGGAGGUCCAGGGCACCUUUGCUGUAGGGGCCCGGUGAGGAAAUGUCCCCCAGUGAUUCCAGGGUCCCUCUGCACCUGCUGGGGAAGGACCCGCCUCUGUUUCUGCUUCUGAUUCGUUCACUGAUGCAACAACACCUGCCAAGUAGAGGCAUCCCCAGGGCCCGGGUUCUGUCACCCCAAUUCACGAUCUCCAUCCGUGGGAUGAUGCUGACAGAUUCACCUGCCCCUGUCGCUCCCCUCCCUCUAAGGGCUCCCCCUCCCAGACCUGCCCAAGCCCUGGAGCCCCAUAGAAUAAGGGGAAGCCCUUCUGAUCGUCGUCAGCUGAAACACUGGGUCCUCACAGGAUGGCUGAAUCCCAGGUAGCCUGCUUCUCAGAGAUGCUGGCCACCUGCCCCACCUGACGUCCCGUGAGCACAUGGAAUAAUUCAGACACUGGCCGUACUCAACCCCAACCCACUGCUAUGGACCGGGUGAUGUCCCCUACAUUCUUAUGUUGAAGUCCUGACCCCCAGGGUGAUGCUGCUUGGAGGGGGGGCCUUUGGGAGGUGAUCAGGUUUAGAGCAGGUCAUGGGCGGGGCGGGGGGGGGCAUGAUGAGGUAAAAACCGCAAGGCAGCUCAGGAAGCCACCGUCCUGCUCGGCUCUGGGAAGUGCGCCCUCCCCCGACGUCUCCCCAUCUCCGGGCCUCCACGGGGCUCACUCCAGACUGGCAACCGGCAGGAGGCCGCGUCUGGGGAGGAGAUGGGCAAAAGACAACUGGAGUUUUUGCCGCGGUUCUAAGCCACGUCCUCCGAUUCAGCCGGACCGCAGAGUACGAGUAGCAACAGGUUCCCGGAUCAGCCUCUCUGUUAGCUCAGGCCUCACCGCGCCACGGUGGGACUGCGGCCCCGAGACCCCUGCCGCUUGGACACGGAGACUUGGACCUUGCCAGGUUAUAGACCAGGGAGGCUGUGGGUCUGGAUGAGAAACCACAGGAGGUGAGUGGGGACGGUCUCGGGAGGAACAGGACAAGGGAGCUAGAAAGAACAGAGAGGCCACGGCUCCACGGGGCUGUGAGGUGUCCCCAAGGCCAGGAACAAGAUGACUUCAGGGAGAAAUGUGGCAGGAGCUGUCGGAACGGCCUUUGAAAUGGAGCAGGUCUAGGUGAUGGCGAGCCGGAAGGCGGAAAGGGGAAGUCGGGAGAGAGCAGACGUCCAGGCCCCAGGAGGGCGGGUGCUGUGUGUAAACAGGGACACUGGGGUCAGCGGGAUAAGGGCACAAACUGGGCAGAAACACACUUACUGUAAAGUCUGCCAGGAAUGAAGGAAAGGAGGCAGCAAGGUGGCAGGUGCCAGGAAAAGGGACGUUGCUGGUAACCGCAGGGCAGGUGCAGAAAAAAAAAAAGUUUGGGGACAACGGGUGGGAGGGUGAAGUCCAGAAACAUCCACGUGGACCCAUAGGGACGCAGCGCUCACCCCAGACGCUGCUGCUGGGAGCGAGAGGAAAGUGACCAUAGUCUGGGAGGGUAGCAGGGUCCUCAGGACCCUCAGGCAUGCCUCACAGGUCAGGGCAGCGAGCCUACCUCUUCGCAGGGCCAGGGCGCUCCCCGCGUGUGGCUGGCACACUUCCUGGAGCGCGGAAGACCGAAGCCAGGGGUUGCGAUGGCUAUCGGCCGAGAACAUCUUUUCUCAAGGCUUCCAGAAGGGGUGCGUACCUAUUGGGAAAACUAUCGCCUCGGAGGCCUGGACGCCCCGAGGGUGUCUGCAGAGCCGCAGAUGUCCAGGGCACCUUCCUGUGGGUACCCGUGACUUCCGAGAACUCCUUCCCCUCCGUGUUUUAUAACAUUUGAACUGGCUUUCCUGAAAGUUUAACCGGAACAGGGAGCUCUGUGUGGUGUAGAUCUGUAGAUUGCUGGAAGGUCUCUCCCCGCCGGAGGCCCCCCGAGAAGAGGGCUUGGUUGGAUCAUAGACCCCCACAGGCCCCAAGGGUCCAAGACCCGGAUCCAGACGUGGAGCUUCUCUGUGAUGUGGGAAUGAGGAUUCCAGACUUGUCUGCCUCGGGGGAUUGUGGGGGAAACUAACACACUUUAGGUUUACAUGCAUUUCGUUUGAUAAGUACUCACCUAGGGCCACUGGGGGCUGGGGCUCGGGCAAGAUGAGGUCUCUGCCAUCCGAAGACCUCAGUCCGGUGGGGGGACAGGCAGGUAGCCAGACAGCGGCAACACCAGGAGAGGUGGGAGAUUCUUAAUAAUGACCAUGGUUCCCUUCUGCACCCUGUCAACAUGGGCUAAGUGCUUUGCCUACGUGAAUUUCAUUGAAUCCUGUGUCAAUUCUGCCAAGAAGCACAAUCCCCCCAGGAGAGGAGAAUUUAAUGAGGAGACAGUCUCCGGGAGGUGAAGAAACUUGCCAGCAAGGAAGGGGUGCACCCAGGACUUUAAAAGCAAGGUACUGAGCUCACGAGUCCUGGCUGAGAAUUAAGCACCUCCAUUCCCCACAAGAGUGUGGGACCAGGGGACUGUCAGCUUUGUUCUAGACUGAAGCACUUUGGAGAUGAGCCCCCAGGGGCUGGUCCCAGGUGGUAGAGUGGGUCCUGCGCUGGGAAAGCCCAAGCUGUCCAGAGGCUCCCCUUCUGACCCCGCCAGGAGCGCUGGCCCGGCCACCUAGCAAUGGUGGCCACCAGAGGGCGCAACGGACCCGCCUUCGGCAGGAUUCCUUUCAACACUGGGUUUGGUUGGGAGCCAGACAGCAAGCAGUUGAAAAGCACAUGAGAAAACACACACACACCCAUGGGUAGGCUGCAGCCUCCUGGGGCUGAUGACCGUGGGUCUGGGCCGCGGAUACAGAGGGCCCAGGACAGCCUGGGGGUACGGACCAUAUCGAUUCAUUCGUCCACGUUCGUUGAGUGCAGAGCUCCGUGACCGCCGUGGGCGGGCAGUCAUUCCUGUGCUGUCCUGAUAUAACCGUCUUGUGUUUCCAGUGGAGGUGGUCAAACCAGCCAUGGGAAGCCACCGUGACACGUGGCUACAGGAAGUCAGGGUUCCGUGGAGCACAGGGCCUGAGCGUGUCUAGGGAGAUCAAGGGAGACUUCCCGGAGGAAGAGGCUGAGCCGUGAGGGGUAAGGAUGGUCACCCAAGCAACGGUGGGAGAGCAUGCCAGGCAGAGGGACGAGCACGUGCAAAGGCCCAGAGGCGAGACAGGGUGUGGCACAAUCACAGAGCGGCAGAUGCUCCGUGACACCGAGGCAGGGAGGCAGGAACGAGAGACGGGGGUCGGAGCAGCGGGGUCCAGGUGUCUUGCGAAUUUGGGGGGGGAUUGGGCUUUAUUCUCCGGAAAACCGAGGGCACUGAAGGGUGCAGCCCAGAGCAAGCGGGGAAGCCCAAAGUGCCCCCUCCAGAAGAACACUUGGUGGGGCGGUUGGACGCAUAUUUACGUCACGUGUGCACUUCACAAAGUGCCCCACACCCUUGCUCUCAUUCAGCAGCACCCUGCCAGGAACAGGGGAGCAGACCCGAGCUGAUGGCUGAGAUAGGACAGCAGUGAGUCAGAGACAGACAGGGCCGGGACUCAGGAUGGGGAGCUCUGCACUCCCCAGCUCUGCACACCGUCCCGCUGCUGGCAGGGCUGGGGGAAGGGCUGGGGGGGGGGGCGUCUCCCCAGUUGGACACUGAGCCCCUCGUGACCGAGACCAUCCCGCAUUCCCAGAAGCGAGCAGAAAGCCUGGUCCAGGAGCACGAUGCACGUGUGAGGGAUCGGAGAGGUUUGAAUGGAACGGAUGGGUAAUGGUGUAUUUUAACAGAGUUGCCAUCACAGAGAAUGAUCUAUUUUUACAUUUUACUGGCUUGUUAUUUUGCAACCAUUAAUUUCCACAUUGAAAUGUGCGAAAACUUCUUAGCAGAGUUUCUAGAAUAUAGUUUAUGUCCAAAAGAAAAGAAAGAAAGAAAGAGGAGGAGGAGGAGGAGGAAG